rnacentral:rRNA from 1 species
UACGUAGGGUGCGAGCGUUAAUCGGAAUUACUGGGCGUAAAGCGUGCGCAGGCGGCGCCGCAAGUCGAGUGUGAAAUCCCCGAGCUUAACUUGGGAAUUGCGCUCGAAACUACGGUGCUGGAGUAUGGCAGAGGGAGGUGGAAUUCCCGGUGUAGCGGUGAAAUGUGUAGAGAUCGGGAGGAACACCGGUGGCGAAGGCGGUCUUCUGGACGGUGACUGACGCUGAGGCGCGAAAGCGUGGGGAGCAAACGGG